rnacentral:rRNA from 1 species
GAUGAACGCUGGCGGCGUGCCUAAUACAUGCAAGUCGAGCGAACGGACGAGAAGCUUGCUUCUCUGAUGUUAGCGGCGGACGGGUGAGUAACACGUGGAUAACCUACCUAUAGGACUGGGAUAACUUCGGGAAACCGGCGCUAAUACCGGAUAAUAUUUUGAACCGCAUGGUUCAAAAGUGAAAGACGGUCUUGCUGUCACUUAUAGAUGGAUCCGCGCUGCAUUAGCUAGUUGGUAAGGUAACGGCUUACCAAGGCAACGAUGCAUAGCCGACCUGAGAGGGUGAUCGGCCACACUGGAACUGAGACACGGUCCAGACUCCUACGGGAGGCAGCAGUAGGGAAUCUUCCGCAAUGGGCGAAAGCCUGACGGAGCAACGCCGCGUGAGUGAUGAAGGUCUUCGGAUCGUAAAACUCUGUUAUUAGGGAAGAACAUAUGUGUAAGUAACUGUGCACAUCUUGACGGUACCUAAUCAGAAAGCCACGGCUAACUACGUG